GACGAACGCUGGCGGCGCGCUUAACACAUGCAAGUCGAACGGAAAGGCCUGCUUUCCCUUGUGGAUUGCGGGUACUCGAGUGGCGAACGGGUGAGUAACACGUGAGUGAUCUGCCCCCAACUUGGGUAUAAGCCUGGGAAACUGGGUCUAAUUCCCGAUAGGACUGCAGGGUGGUGCCUGUGGUGGAAAACGAUUUUCUAGUGGUUGGGGAUGAGCUCGCGGCCUAUCAGCUUGUUGGUGGGGUAAUGGCCUACCAAGGCGGCGACGGGUAGCCGGCCUGAGAGGGUGGACGGCCGCAUUGGGACUGAGAUACGGCCCAGACUCCUACGGGAGGCAGCAGUGGGGAAUAUUGCACAAUGGGCGGAAGCCUGAUGCAGCGACGCCGCGUGGGGGAUGACGGCCUUCGGGUUGUAAACUCCUUUCGACCGCGAGGAAGCCACCUGGUUGGAAGGGUGGUGACGGUAGUGGUAGAAGAAGCACCGGCUAACUACGUG
rnacentral:rRNA from 1 species